GGGGGCAACCGGUUACAACAGUGGCCCACCUCGCAUGGAGAGGGGCAGGGGUGGUGGAGGUUUCCGCGGCGGCGAGGGCGGUCCUACAACCGCGGUACAGCCUAUGCAGAAUGCCGGCAUGUUUGGCGUCUACGACAACAAAGAUGCGGCGGCUGGAACACAACUAAAGAUGCCUACACCAGCUUCGGCACGCGUCCCGACAGAGGGAAGUCUGCUUUUUUUCAACAACGGCGGAGUGCGCCACGAGGAAGUUACCAGCGUGGAGGUUUUGUAGGCAGUGGAAACAGCCGCUGGUGGAGGAGUCCAGGGAUGACGAGACUGGUCCAAACCCACUCAGGCCAAUGAGCGCCUGGAACAGGAGCUGUUCGCUGUGGCAACACAGGGAUUAACUUUGACAAUACGACGACAUUCCUGUUGAGGCCACUGGCCAAAACUGCCCCAUCACAUUGACAGCUUCCAAGACAUAGAGAUGGGAGAGAUCAUAAUAAGUAACAUCGCCCUGACCCGCUACACUCGGCCCACUCCGGUCCAGAAGUACGCCAUUCCAAUCAUCAAGAACAAGAGGGACCUGAUGGCCUGUGCCCAGA